GACGAACGCUGGCGGCGUGCUUAACACAUGCAAGUCGAACGGAAAGGCCCUGCUUUUGCGGGGUGCUCGAGUGGCGAACGGGUGAGUAACACGUGAGUAACCUGCCCUUGACUUUGGGAUAACUUCAGGAAACUGGGGCUAAUGCCGGAUAGGAGCUCCUGCUGCAUGGUGGGGGUUGGAAAGUUUCGGCGGUUGGGGAUGGACUCGCGGCUUAUCAGCUUGUUGGUGGGGUAGUGGCUUACCAAGGCUUUGACGGGUAGCCGGCCUGAGAGGGUGACCGGCCACAUUGGGACUGAGAUACGGCCCAGACUCCUACGGGAGGCAGCAGUGGGGAAUAUUGCACAAUGGGCGGAAGCCUGAUGCAGCAACGCCGCGUGCGGGAUGACGGCCUUCGGGUUGUAAACCGCUUUCGCCUGUGACGAAGCGUGAGUGACGGUAAUGGGUAAAGAAGCACCGGCUAACUACGUG
rnacentral:rRNA from 1 species